rnacentral:lncRNA from 1 species
GGAGUUUAGAUAGGAAAAUGUCACUUAUUGGUUAUGUAUUCAUGUUGUAGCAUUUUUAACAAAUAAAACAGAGUAUACAAUCGCUAUAGAAGCUGUAAAAUAAGCAUUUUGGCUCAAGGGGUUAAUGACUAAGUUGGGGUUGAAUCAGAGAUCAGUACUUGUCUUAUAUGAUAGUUCAAAUGCUAUACAUUUGUGCAAGAACGCUGCAUAUCUUGAAAAAACUAAGAAUAUAGAUAUUAAACUUCAUUUUAUUAGAAAUGAAGUGUCAAAUAGUGUUAUAAAGAUGAUCAAAAUUCAUACUGAUGAAAACCAUUCCGAUGCCCUAACUAAGGUGGUUCAUGUAGGUAAGUUCAGAACUUGUCUAGACAUAAUUGGUUUAUGUAGUUUUUGAGAUAUAUGAAGAAUUAGAGAUGAGUCAGAUUGAGGAGGAAGUUUGAUUCAAGGUGGACUAUUGUGAAGACGACUUGUAAAUCAAAUUUGGGUUUUAGAAACGACAUCAUUUGGACUUGGAAUUGCCUUUAAAAGUCAUAUGCUCGUCAUGUGUUUAUAAUAGAAAACUGAAUUGAAUAUAAUGAUAUGUGAUUGUGCAUUCUGAUCCAAACUUAAGUAACUCAUGUAUGAAGCAUGUGCCAAAGCUUAAAGCCAAGUUCGUUAAGGUUGUUAGCCACAUGCCGUAUAUUUGAGCAAUCUGGAAAUCAAAGUUAUUAUUGACACUAGUUAUAUAAAGUUUGUUUCUUAAGCAACUUUAUGGAUGUUUCUGAAAAGUUAUCCUAAGAGGUUUUAGAGAGAAAAAGUUUCAUCUUAUUCUCUGGUGACUCUUGUACAAAGCUUUAUAAAUUUCUUCAUUGUUACAUUAAUAAAGCCCAUCUAAUUGCUUUUCUUGUAGAUGUAGGUUGAGCAUUCUUACUUAACAAAACCACAUUAAGAUCUUGGUGUUUUGAUUGUUCUUGAUUUAUUUUCUUUACUACUUCUUGAUUAAGUCUUGUUAGUAUAUUGAGUUGUGAGUUCCUCAGAACAAUCUUAUACUGUGCAACUUGUAUUGAUUUGAUCUAAGGCAUUUUAGGCAGUGAUUAGUUACAUUAAUACAAAAGCAAUAUGGUUACAACACUGUAGUGGAAUCAUUCAUUUAAUAUAAUGUGCAUAAGCCAGAUUGUAAAUCAUGUAACACAUCUUUAAACAUGUUGAGACUGAUUUGAUGUAUAAUAUCAAACCAGUAAUCCCAGGACCUAAUUCUAGUUAAAAAUUGAUUAAUGGACUAAAGGUCAUUGUGUAGUCAAUAAAAGUUUUCUCAUUUUUAAAAAAUUUUAAUUCGAUUUUGUUUAAGUUAUAUAUUAUAUACUAGUUUUCCAAGAAAUUGGGCAAAAAUAAAAUGAUUAAAAAUUUUAAGUGUAUAACCUCCAAAUCUUAACUUAUUUUAUGGAAUUAACGCUCUAAGUAUGUGGUUUUUAAUAAACGAAUCCAUAUUAUAAGAAAAAACAGAUAUGGCAACGUUUAAAAUACGUUGUCAAUUACAUACAACAAUGAAGACCUGCAUAUUGUUGAUGCUGUUGUUAUUGAAUGUUUGGGACUUUUGACAACAAACAAUACACGUUGUAAAAUGUGACACUGCUUGUGGUCGUUUGUCAUACAACUGCGCUCUCUUUUCGUGGUUGAUGUCUCAUAUUUUUACACUUUUCAUUACAGACUUUUAGAGGUUGUCAUUUUUUAUAUGACAACAACAUAUACUUGUUGUUGGUAACAAUCGACAACAAUACAUUCUCAUUGCUAUUUGUAACACUCAACAAUAAUACAUGCUUGUUGUUUUUUGUAACAUUCGAUAGCAGUGCAUGCUUGUUGCUAUUUGUAACAUUUUAGACAACAUAAAAUUGAAUUUUGCCUACUAUUGAUCUACAAGUUGUUAAAUGCACCUUUUUUCUCUCUAUUUCAUACAUUUAUUUUAUUACUAUAGAGUUUUGACCUGCACAACCAUAUACAUAGUAAUAACAAAAUUUUAAAAUAUGAUUUCAUUAAAAAUAUAUUCAAGCAUAAAGUUAUUACAUUUGAAGCACUAAUAUCACACAAAUUUGUCAAAUGUUCAAUACUAUAAAACAACAAAAUGAGCUAUCAACAACCAAAACACAAGUCAUAACAUCUUUGACUGAUCUUUAACAAAAAAAAAAAAAGUUUCUUUAAAGCUCAACACUAGCAAGGAGACUUCCUACAAAAUAGAAUUAGUUCCUGCACAAUAAAGUUCAAGGAAAAGAAAACAAGUAGCAUUUUACAAAAACAUAAAUUAAGUCCAUAAGAUACAUACAUACAUACAUACAUACAAACACACACACACACACACACACACACACACACAAUAUUUUGUCGAUCAAUAAAAUAUCAUAGCAAGAUGAAUUACAACUAUUACUUUGUCGCUAUCAAUUUAAUGCAACUCUUAAGCAAGCAACUGUACUCCCUAAAGCUUCCUGCUUAUUCGAGUUUCAUCUAUCAUCUUGUACAAUUUUACAUCUUCUUUGCCAAGAGCAAUUGACUCCACCCAAACUUUGCAACAAUCUUUACCAUGGGGAAUGUGAUGGACUCUUAUCUUAAGGUCUAUUGACGCAACCUUCCCCUCAGCCACAACCUCAGCUAGAUCAUCUCAUUACUAAUGCAAUAAUUGACAGCUUGCGUACCACUUCCUUUUUGUGACUAAAAGUAUCAAAAAUAAAAUAAAAUAACAAAACUUAUCACAAACCAUGGAAAUGGGAUAUGGUAAGAACAAAAGAACAUUACCCGAGGAGUGCAUUCAUGAGUGCUUAUCAUAUCAACAGGUCUACCAAGAUUCUGUAAAAAUUAAAAGCAAUUGUAUUUAAUUGAAAGUAAAUAAAAAUGAUUUUAUAUUACCUAAUAUUUAGAGAUGGUAGAAAAGCCCGCCUGGACCGAAACCGAUGCAUGCGGUCCUGGUAAAACCCGAACCGGAUGCAUGGAAAAAGCGGAUCCGAGCACUGAUUUUCAAUGCCCGGCUGUUUCCGGGCACGGGUCCGGUCACAGCACUAAGAACCCGGAACUCGGACCCGUGCCCGCUUUUUUAUUAAGUAAAAAAAAAAGGAAAAUAUAAAAACAAAAAUGCAUUUUGCUUUGCCCAAUUUCCCCCAAACCCAACCGGCCAACCCUAAAUCGGGACAAGUCUCAGAAUCGGCACCUCCCUCCAUCUCUCCACCAAUAGCCACUACCCAUCUUCACCGAUGCAGUGUUGACCGCGCGACCUCUUCGCCACUUACAAAAAAAUGCGCAUGCUUUUACCGAGAGAAGAAAGCUUUUAUUUUUUGUAUGACCUCUGGUCCUCCCAUCAAGCUUACCUGAGGCAGUGAGGCUGAAAGUCUCUGUUAUCAACCAUUAAGACACCGGAAAGAGUAAUUGCUCACAUCGUAAACGCCAUGAACUAAUUUUCCUAAAUUAAUAAGUGUUCUAAAAGGGCUUGAAAAAUCAAAAUGAUGCCCAACAUUAGCGCCAGGAUUAAGGAACUUUUCACUGCAAAGAAGUGGAUAGCUACGUGGAUGAAGUUAUGGGCCGUGCAGAAAUUCACACUUCACUCUCUCUUGAUUUGUACUCAAAAGUCACAACCAGCCUUCAAUUAUAUGGACUCAUGGAUUCAAUAUUUAGGCUUACAAUUGGACCUUCACAAAGCAAUUGGAGCACUCCAAGCUCCAAAAAAUGUCUCUUCUCUGUGACAUCCACAGGUGGGCUAGAAGAAGGUUAUGCAUAGAUGGUCUAUGUGCGUGUGCUUACUAAAUGCAUACAAAAUGUAUAAGAACUGAGAUUCCUAUGUUUUUUUUCCUUUUUUAAUUUUCAUAAUUUUGUUAGAUGUUUGCCUAUAGUUAAGAUGUUUUGGUUUUGGACUGUUACGGUUUGUUAGAACUUAGAAGUAAACAAUUGUUUUGGCUGCAUUUUUUUUUCCAGUGCUUUCACCUUUGAAAAUCCAGGUAGAGAAAGCCCAGAAAAAAACCCGUGCCCAAAUAGUGCCGGACAUGUGACCGGCCCAUAUAGAAAAAUUCCGGGCACGGUACGGGUCCGGGUAGCUACUUGUGACAUCCGGGUUGGUCCUGAGCAGCCCCAAACCCGGACCCGACUCGGACUUUUGCCAUCUCUACUAAUAUUAUUGAUGCAUAUACACUUGAUAAAAUUUUAUUGUUCUAGUAUUUUACAAAAAUAAUAAAAGUAAAUCAUUUAUCUGUUUUAACAUGAAAGCAGUCAUUUGUUCAACUGUCUCCACUCUUUGAGGUUGGGUGUGCAAUUGGCUUUCAAGUUCUCUCACUUUCUGAGUAGAUAUAUUAUGCAAAUUCUCUACAAUUGGAGUAACUCUAAAUCCAUGUGCCCAAACUCAUCCACAUUUUUUAAAACCAUAAGCUUUUGCAACAACAUCAUAUUUUUUUUGUCUCCUUGGGAUUAUUAUGUAUUUCUUGACACUUUACAACCUUUUCCUAAAACAUAAAUUAUGUAUAUAUUCGUUACAUGAAAAAGUAGAAGUCACUAAAGUAAUAAAAAUAUAAUUUGGUUUCAAGAGUUCUAUACCAUUCUUCUUCCAACUACUUCAUUGGUAGGUUCACCAAUCUUUUUAUGAUUUUGUUCAAGCCAAACAUCUACUCUUGUUAUUUUUUUCGGAUAUGAACUUUUCUUUUUCUAUAAUAAAAAGGAUAAAAAAUUAUGAAUUAUAACAAAAUCAAUAAGAAUAUAGUAAAAUUUAUUUUAUAUAUCUUACCAUAUUAUGCUCUAUGCGAGCAUAGCCUCUUCGACCAAUUGUAUGUAUCUCUUAUGUUCACUUCACAUAUCUUGAAACUUCUUGCUUAUUUCUUAUUACAUAAAAAUAAAGUAUUGUACUGAUAUGAACGUAUUUUCACUCAAUAUUAGUAAUAGUUAUAAUUGCUUACUUUGAACUCUGGAGACAAUCUAUAUUUCACAAAAGCUUCUCAAUAUUUAUUAGAUUUAACAUUUUUUUGGCCGAAUAAGAGCAAGGGCAUGCGACCUACUUUUUUUGUUGUUGGCUUCCUUAGUCUUUACUGUUAUCUCUUAUUUGUAUUGUCUCCUUCGAUUUCCUAAAUUCCAAAGUGCCAAGUGCUUUUGGGAGUCAUUUACAAUAAAUUUUUGUUGUAAGAUAUAAAUAAAGAAUCAUUUUAGUAGAUAAAACAAUAAAUUAUUAUUGGCAUGAAUAAAAAAUAUACCUUAAUUAAUGACCAAAGAUCCUCUUUAGUUUUUGAAGGAACUAAACACUAAUCUUUGAUCAAAAUAGGCACAUAGUCUCUUACUACAACUCCAUCAAAAGUGGCGUACUUUUCUGAAUUAACUUUUACCGAUUGACCUCUUUCAUUGAAUUCAACAGGUAAUGGAGUAUGAUCUCGAAUCACUACCAAUGUAAUAAGGCCUCUUUUUCUUUUGCCAUUCUUAGUGUUAAAUAUAGAUGUUUCAAUUUUUUCUUAUUAUCCUUAAAUAUUCUUCUCGACUGGUAGCAACAAAAAGCGCUUGCUGUUGCUUUUUGGCUCUUAUUUCAGCUUUUUUAGAUGACGAUAUAAUGAAAAACUUAUAUUUAAGUAAUAUUGUGAAAUACAGUAUGAAUAAGAAAAAUUAAUGUAUUAAAAUAAAGUAAUGAAUUCACUUACCUCUACACCUAUCAUCUUCUCCCACUGUUUAAUGCUUACAACAAAAUACAAGAAAACAAUUAUACAUCUUAUGAUAAUAGUAAACAUAAAUUAAAUAAAAACAUUGCAGUACACAUACGAUAUGAAUAAUGCUUUAAGUAAAACCAAAAAGUCACAACUAUAUAGAGAGUUGACAAUUCAAUAUCACAUAGAAUAGUUAUAAGAAAGAAAUAGAAUAACAUAGCACCUAAAAUAAAAAGUUACACAUCACAAAUUAUAUCAUCAACAUUAGUUUUUUUUAUUUGGUGCAUCCUCAUUGUCAUCUUGUGUUUCAAGUCCUCAUACUUUAACUAGCAUUGAUGGCUCAUUAUCACUUUCAUCAUAUAAUUGCAAAUCUUGAAAUCCUCGUGAUGGUGCUUUGAAAACAACAUGCCAAUUUAAAGAAUUUUGUAUCCUUAGAACAAAAAACUUGAUUAGCUUACAAUGCUAAAAUAAAAUGGGUCCUUUUUAAAUUGGCUUUGCCUCUCAUGAAGGUUAAUCAAAGUGAAACCAUUAUCAUCUUUGACACCAUUUACAAUAUCUUCCCAAUCACAUCUAAAAAUAGGGAGUUGAAAAGUAUGGUAAUCAAGAACUAUAAUCCCUUUCAAAACCCCAUAAUAAGUGACUUCUCUAAUCACUUGUAUAUUGUAUCUUACACUAGCUCUACAAAUUGUGGUUGCUAUAAGUGAAACACCACUAUUUUCUAUUGACUUCUCUGCAUCCUCCUUGUGAAAUUGAAGGCCGUUUAUUACAAAUCCAAAAUAUGACAUUGAUUGUACUCUUGGUCCACGUGAAAGCUAUUUCCAAAUAUUUAACACAUUAUUAUGAUUCUAUAUAACCUUAAUCCGUUAAAAAAAUAAGAAUUGUUAGAAUAAGUUAAAUAAUUAUAAAAUAUUUUAUUCCAAAAUAAAUUAAAAAAAUAUUUGAUAACUUGUUCUUGUAACAACACAUUAAAUAUUUUCAUAUGUUUCCUUUUUAGCAAUUUUUCAUUCUUUUCAAAUCAUCUAUCUGAACUUUUUAAUUCUUCAAAAUGCUCUCUGGAAAUAAAGAUAAAAAUAUUAAAUCUAACUAUUAAAUAUUAAUUCAAAAUGCUAGUAAUAAAUAUGACUAAAAAACGUACUCCAUAAGAGUCUGAACUUCUAAACUGUUGAAUAGUAUAUAACAAUGGGCAAUAUUUAACAUCUUAUUUAAAAAAGUUAUUAAUUUAGCCCCUGAUAUUGGACACCCUUCUAACAACAAUUUGUUCCCAAAUUCCUCAUUGUGUCCGUGUUAGGAUCCUACUUGUGUAGCCUUUUUUACAUACUUGCCACAAAACAAUGCAUAUUCUUUUGCAAAGUACUACUCAGCUAUGCGCCCUUCAGGUCGUGUACAAUUUCUAACAUAUCUUUUUAGGAUCUUCAUAUACCUAGGACAAAAAGUGAGCUAGACUAAUGAUUUAUAAUUAAUUCUAUUUUAAAUGAUUAAUAAACUCUAAAGUUAAAUAGUUAACUUUCAAUGGAAUACAUCCAACGAUAUUGUACAAGUCCACAUAAACAAGCUUGACAUUCAAGGUGAAUAAUUAAAUGAACCAUAAUAUCAAAGAAUGGUUGUGAAAAGAAUAGAGUCUUAACCAGUUCUUCUUUUAGCUUUUCUAAUCUAUUUCUAUCUAAAACUCUACUACAAAAUUCUUUGGAAAAGACACACAAACAAAGAAUUGCUUUUCUUAGACCUUCUGGCAAAAUUCCUCUCAAAGUUAUAGGUAAAAAGUUGCUACAUUAAAAUAUGGCAAUCAUUAGACUUUAGGCCAAUUAUCUUGUGCCCUUUCACCGAAACAGAAUCAGUAAUGUUUGAAAUAUAACCAUCAAGUAACUUUAUAUUAGCAAGCCGCUUGCAAAAAAGUUCCUCCUCUUCCUUAAAAAGUGUAUGUGAAGCAGCUGGUAAGCAAAAAAAAUUCUUCUCCUUUUUAGGAUAUAAAUCCUUCAUACUGUCCAAGUACAUUAGCUCUAGGCAAGAAUUUAGACCAUCUUUAAACUUACCUUCAUGUUUAAAAGCUUACCAAUUAUGCUAUCACAAAUGUUCCUUUCAAUAUGCAUUAUAUCCAAGUUAUGAUGCAAAACCAAGUCCUGCAAAAAUUAAAAAGCAAAGUUUUUUAGGAUUUUGGAUUUAAAUCUAGAAAGUAAAGAACUAAAGAUUUAUCAUAGAACAUAUUUAAUGACAACUCACUUGUUAGUAUGGCAAUUUAAAAAACAUAAGCUUCUUUAUCAUAAUAGAGAUUUACUUAUGCUCCUAUUUCUUUUUUUUGCUCCCUUUUCCUCAAUUAUUUACAAUAUCUUAUAUAUAUAUAUAUAUAUAUAUAUAUAUCUUCACCAGUGAACAAUUUAGGCUUAAUUUAUCUUCAUUGGCCUAUUAAACCAUUUGCACUUAUUUUGGAAAAUAUGUUUAUGUGGAAGAAAUCGUCUAUGACUCAUGUUUCCUACUGUGUGGUAAAUACUCUAAAUAUGAGUUUAUACAACAUACAUGACAUGCCAACUUUUCCUUAUAGACCAUCUAACAUGUUUGCAUAAGCUGAAAAUCAUUGAUCGUCCACAUUAAGAUUGCUUUUAGAUUAAAUGUUGAUUUAUCCAUAGUAUCAUAUACCUUAACUCCAUUUACUCACAACUCAUUUAAAUCUUUUACAAGUGGUGCCAAGUAAACAUCUAUGUCAUUACUUAGCUGCUUCAGCCUGGGGAUUAGUAUAGUCAACAUUAAACUUUCCUUGCACAUGCAUAGUGAUGCGGCGAAAGUUUAAAAUUCUUAUAUUGUAUUGAUUUUUAAGAAUACAUGAAUAAAGAAAUGGUCUAAAUUCACAUUGAUUUAAAAGAAUACUAUGAACCUACAGGGUUAAGACUUGUUGAUUCCGCAGAAUGCCGAGAAUUAACUAAGUUUAAAAACUCACCUAGAGCUUCGAAAACUGAGAAUAUUAUUAAACUCAAAUCUAUAGUUUAUUCCAAGAAAUAAUCAAAUUAUCAAGGCCUGCUUGUAAAGUAUUUAUAGUAGUUAUGACUUAUCCUAAUUUGACUAAAGCUUAUUUUAACAACGCUUAUACUUAAAUUAGGAGUAAAACUAUAAAAAAAUGCUUAAACAAUAAAACUCUAAAUAAGAAAUCAAAUUAAACUAGAAUAUAAAUUAAUUAUGACAUUCCUAAAUAUUAUAAAUAUAUUUAGGUCCUCGAAUUUUACUUGUUGCAGCCUCCAAGAACAUUUUCGUGUGUAAAAGGAUUAACUUCCAAAAUAGAGCUGCGAUGUAGACAACAAACUUUAAAUUUUCCAACUUUGUAAUGAUAUCUAUCAAAUCACUCCAAUAGCAUAAAAUAAAUUCUUCUAUCAAUAAUUUCUCUUACACCAUCUUUUUGUAUCCAUGCAGAAUUUCAACAUAGUUGAGGAAAAAUAAUUUCUUCUUAUAAUCCAGUAACUGUUGAAAAAUAUCACAACAUUUUUUUAAUCUUUUUUCAACAAAUCAAAAGAACAAUAACAAAUUGUAUCAACAACCACCUCUCCUUACUCUACAAGAUCAAAAUAAGUAUGAACAACUACCUUUUCUCAUUCCACAAUACCAAUAUAAGUAAUCAAAUUGCGGUGGUUGUUCUAAAUCAAUGAUAGGAUAUUGAGAAGUUGAGGUUGAUGUGAAUGGCCAAUCAAUACUCCUCUUGGAUGGAGUAACAUUGAGAAGGAAAAUAUAGACAUUGUUUUUCUCAAUAACAUUAUCUUUAUAACUUGCAUCAUCAUCAACAAUUUCAUUAAAUUCAUAUGUCUACUUUAUGGGUAAAGAUUUUUUAUUUCCAAGUUUCUCUAAAUCUUGAGCAAUCGAAUGCACAAUUCUCAACAUCUUAACUAAAACAUCUUCCUCCAAGAUGAAAUCUUGAUGAUGAUGUGGUGGUUUCAUGACUCAAUUUUUUUUUGUGUUUGUUUGUCUUUUUCAAUGAGAUCAUAAAAUUAAAAGGCAAUACUAUAAGUAAGAGAAAGUAUUGGGUUAAAACUAUAAAUAAGCAAAAGAUAGGGUUACCGACGAUGGUGAUCGAAAAAUUGGAUUAGGAUGGGUCGAUAUAGAAGAUUUGAGGUCAAUGACAUGAUGUCAAUGGUGUUUUGUUUGAAAAGGCAGUGUUUUAGCUGAAAUUGGUGGUUUUAUAUUGGUUUUGAUUUCCUGCAGUUAGUUCAUCAAUCGGUGGUGGAGAAUGAUAAGAAAUGUCAAGCUAAUAAAGAGAAGUUGAUUGAUGGUUGUGGUGCGAGCUAAAUCGCGGUGAAAAUCAGUGAUCAAUCAGCAAUAACGUCACUAGAAUUUUGGCAGAUUUUGGUGAUUUCAGCAACAGAAUGGUGGCAUGCAAGAAUGGGUUUUAGGGUCGGCUUCCUCUGAAUGUAAUGGUAGUGGCUGAUUGUCAAAAUGGCAAAGGGAAAGAAUGUUGGCAAUUGUAGACGGCGGCUGCCGCAGUGGCCUCGAUUUUUGUUGGAUUUUUUUUUAUUUUUUUUUGUUUUUGAUUUUUUUAAUAAAGAGAAAUUAAAAAAGAGAAAGGUAGGUGAUUGAGGACAAUUAAGAACCAGGCUAUCAUCUCUAAUACCAAACUAAUGCAGCAGAAAUUUAUAAGUUCUAAUAUUUCGUUGAUUCUUAAGAAUACCAAAAUAAAGGAAUGGUUUAAAUUCACUUGGAUUAAAAAGAAUACCAUGAAACUAAAGGGUUAAGACUCGUUGAUUCUGUAGAAUCAAAGAACUAACUAAAUUGAAAAACUUACAAAGAGCUUUGAAAACUGAUGAUAUUAUUAAACUCAAAUCUAUAGUUAUUUCAAGAAAUAAUCAAUAACAAAUAAUCAAUGCCUACUUGUAAAGUUACAAAAGAUACUUAUUCAUAAUAGCUAUGACUUAUUCUAGUUUGACUAGAAAACUUAUUUUAACAAGACUUAUACCUAAAUUAGGAGUACAACUCAAAUAAGCAAUGCCUAAACCAUAAAACUCUAAGUAGAAAACUAAAUUAAACUAUAAUAAAAGUAAUUAAAAUAUUCUUAAAUAUUAUAAAUUUCAAUCUAAUUAGGAAUUCUUCAAUUUCUUGCUCUCCAUCAAAUAGUGAUAGAGGCAAGUUGUAUAUGGAUAAAACUACAUGCCAACAAUUAUAACUUGUGCUAACAUCUUGAAAAGGAUUGAAACCAUCAGUUGCAAGACCAAAUCUGAUAUAUUGAGGAUCUUAAUGAAAAUGAUGGCGAUUUUCUAUUUAUAGUCUCUUAUGCAAGAUAAUAAACUGGAUGUUCUCACCAUCUUUCCUUUUAUGACUUUGGUGUCAUCUAAGUUGUUCCGCCAAUUCUCUGAUCUCAUACAUCCUCUUAAGUCUUGGUAUUAUUGGAAAAUAAUGCAAGACUUUUGUAGGUACUCCUCGAAGAAUCUUAUUAGUUCGUUCAUCAACUUUCUAAUGAGAAGAAUCACAUUUAGGGCAUACAUUUGCACAUUCCUAGUCUUUUCUAAAUAGAUAGCAAUCAUUUAUACAAUCAUAUAUCUUUUCGUACCCAAGUUGAAAUUCCUUUAGUGGUUUUUUAGUUGAAUAAAAGAAACUGGAAGUGCAUUUUUUUUAUGGUACAAUAUCACAAAAAAAUUGAAACAUUUUAAAACUACUAUCAGAUAACCCGUGGGUAACUUUAUACUUGAAUAAAGUUGUAAUUUUUUAGAGUAGUUUGUAUAGCCUGGGUAAAACAGAGUCCCAUUGUCUCUAAUUAAAUUUUGAAAUCCUCUCUUCCCACACAUGUAUUCUCUAUAGCAUUUUCUUUUUGAAAACGUACUUGAUCUCUAUACAUCUUACAAGUUUCUAUCAUUUCAAAAUCUAUGUAUUGAUUUGGUGUGUAUAUAUUAUCCUCACCUUUAUAUUGCAUUGUUGCAGUAGAUUUCUCCCCAUGAAGGACCCAAUUUGUAUAAGUUGGAUCCAUGCCCUUAAUAAUCAAGUGCUCAUAGACUAUAUCAAAAUGGUGGCAUUGUAAAUUCUUAUCAUAUCUAUAUGGACAUCCUAUAACAUCUAAGUUUCCCAAACAAGCACGUACAUAAUUGACAAGGUUACGGUUCCCAAUAUAUAAUCCUCUAUAUGUCUACAAUGAAGAUUUUACCAAAUUGAAAAAUUAUUUGAAUUUUACUAAUUCCUUACAAACAAAUUGGUUGUCUUUUUAAGAGACAAAAUGGAAAUAAUAUUUAAAAAAGAAGGCAAAAAUGAUACCUAGAUAAGUGAACCCAUCAUUUAUCCGUUUUCAAGCAACUAUUGUUAUUAAAACCUGUUUUCAUGAGUAGAUAGUUAAGCAUAUAAAAAGUUAAACAACAAUAUAUUCAAGACAUGAACAAAGUUAGUUAGGUAUUUAAUUGUCACAGAACUCUUUGUAUUGUGGUUUCAUAAGACCUUGCAUAAUUGUUAUUUUUUAAAUUCAAUAUCUUCUUUACUAUUUACUAACCUUGCAUAAUUGUUAUCUUUUAAAUUCAAUAUCUUCUUUAUCAUUUACUAGUUAAAAUGUCCAGAAAAAAGUAAAUAAGAAAAAAAUUAUUUAUUUUAUAAUAAGAAAUAGAUAAAUACUCAAUAUCAUUAUUUUUUUUAUAAACAAACAAUUAUUAAGGAGUAAAAGAGACACCUUUAAUAAAAAGUAAAACAGAUCAUACACAUUAUUAGCUGUUGGACCAAAAAUAAAAUAAGUCUAAUAAGGCCCAAAUAAAUUUAAUCUCAAUAAGGCCCAUCUAAUAAAUUUCCUCCCACUUAAGCCCACGAAGUGGUGGACAAAUCACCUAGAAUGAUCCUCCUAAGUAACAAGGUUUCAAAGCCCAAAAGGAGCCAAGGUCCUAGAUUCCUAUCCUAAGACAAAUCACUUAGGAUAAAUCAACUAGGUGGUAAGGAUUUAAAGUCCAAAACGUGCUAAGGUUCUAGGCUCUUAUCUUAGGACAAACCUUCUAAGUUUGAGGGCUCUUAUGAUCCCAAGGUCUUAAUAAAAAUAACCUAAGGAUAAAACGUUCCUUCCUCUAAUCUGUAGACAAGUUUGUAUAUUCAUGCGUCAAUCCACAUGGGCCCUAGAGGACAAAUGUUGCCAAAUGUCACAAGAACAAUGACAUUUGUCAUCAAAAUAACUAGGACCCAAGUCAAAUUAGUUUGGUCGAUAAAUAGGUCUUUCAUUCUCAUUAAAAGGUAAGACAAAAAAGAGACUCAAGAGGAAAAAAUGCUAAUUUUCUCCCUCUAAUCUUUCUUUUUCUAAAUUUAUAUUUCCAAAAGUUCGGUGACUGACUUGACCUCGGAGGGUUUACACUGGUAAAACCGGCCCUCUGAUAAUUUUCUUGUGUUUGUAGAGUAUCACAAGACAAGUACCUUCUGAUUGCCUAAGGAAGUGGACUCAAAAGAGCAUGUAUAAAGGCCCAUAAAGAUCAGCCCAAAGAAUGAACUCACCAUCAUAAAAUCUAACAAAGAGGAACCCAAGUCUUAAAGGGGUUGUCCUCAGUCGAAAUUUCUAUAUCAUAAGUUGGGACAAAAUUUACACCAGCAGUUUGGCGCCGUCUGUGGGGAUCUUCCGAUAAAAGUCUUGAAAGCCCUACCAUGAGCAAGGAUUGUAACAAUGAGUACUAUAACCUUGAGGCUGAUGAUGAAAGUUCCAGAGUGGAUGAGGAUGUUCACUUCUGACGAAGGAGACGACAACGAGACCUAGAUGAUGACGACGUGGUGCCUAUCCAUCCUCCUUCAUAUCCUCAUUUGAAUCCACCUCGCCACGUUAGACGUCGAGGACAGCCUCGUGUUGUUCGACUUUAACAACAAGUGGAUCAGUUGGCUCGUAACUUCAAUAGAAUGUUCGGCCAAUUUCCAGCUUGAGCUGAGGAAGGCGAGAACUCAAGUGGGGGUAAUGUGGUUGAUUCCGGCUCCUCUAGAACAAAGUCUAAAGAAGAGUUAAAUGAAGAUGAUCUCAGGCAUUCCCUUAACCAAAGAAGAUCUAGGAGGAGAAUGACCAGAGAAGGUUUAGACCAAGGAGAGGAAGUCGACAGAGGAUUACAAGAAAUAAUGCAGAGACUUGAGCAAAUGGUUCGAGAAAUGGGCCCACUUGAUGAUGUAACAGCAGAACAUGAGCCACCAUUUACUUCUGAUAUAAUGGUAGCAAAACAUUCACCUAGAUUUCAUUUACCCCAAAUGGAGCCUUAUGAUGUGUAGAGGGAUCCAACUGAACAUUUAGAAUUGUAUCGCACCCUUAUGGAAGUGCAAGGAGCAUCACAAGCAAUUCUUUGUCGGGCUUUAUGUUGAUGAUAUGCUCACCAAGAGCUUUAACCCUGAAGAUCAUGUAAAAGACUUACGGGAAACCUUUGAUAUCCUUAGAAAGUACAAGAUGCGGUUAAAUCCAGCUAAAUGUGCAUUUGGUGUGUCGUCAGGAAAAUUCCUUGGCUUUAUGGUAAAUCAAAGAGGUAUUGAGAUCAAUCCUGAGAAGAUCCAAGCAUUGGUUAAUAUGAAGUCUCCAAAGAAUGUUAAAGAAAUUCAAAAGUUGACGAGUCAAGUAGCAGUCUUGAAUCGCUAUGUCUCUGGAGCCACAGAUAAGUGCCUUCCUUUUUUUAAGGCUCUUAGAAAAGGAAAAGAGAUGAAGUGGACUGAGGAAUGUGAAGAAGCAUUUCAAAAGCUUAAGGAAUAUUUAGGAAGCCCUCAUUUGCUUGUUAAGCCAAUCCAAGGCGAGUCUCUCUUUCUUUAUCUUGCAGUGUCUGAACAUGCCACUAGCUAUGUCCUUGUCCGAGAAGAUAAUGAAGUGCAAAGGCCUAUCUACUAUACAAGUAUAGCGUUGGUUGUUGCAGAAAUAAGGUAUCUAAGUCUUGAAAAGAUUUUUCUAGCCUUGAUUGUUUCAGCAAGAAGGUUAAGGCUUUAUUUCCAAGCUCAUACCAUAAUCGUCCUCACUGAUCAACCAAUUAGACAAGUUUUAGCUAAGCCUGAAUUUCAGGAAGGAUGACAAAGUGGGCUAUUGAGCUUGGAGAGUUUGACAUCUUAUAUCAUCCUAGGACAUCAUUGAAAGGGCAAGCAUUGGCAAACUUCAUUACUGAGUUUACUGAAGGAGAUAUUAUAUCACUUGAUCCUAAAGAGGAGCAUCAAGAUAAAUGGUCUCUCUAUGUCGAUGGAUCCUUUAGUAAACGAGGAUGUGGUGGAGGUUUUAUAGUAAUUACUCUAGACAAUGUUGAGAUUGGAUGCGCUCUUAGGUAUGGCUUCAAUGCUACCAACAAUGAAGCAGAGUAUGAAGCUCUUCUGGCUGGCCUUAGGCUAGUUCGAGCCUUAGGUGCAAAGAUUUACUUGUCUUUAAUGACUCUCAGUUGGUAGUUAAUCAAGUGAAUUGCAACUAUACAGCUCGGGAUUUCAACAUAAUUGCAUAUCUUGAUCGAGUUAAUGAGUUGUUAAGGGACUUCAAUUAUAAGGUGAAGCAAAUUCCUUGGGAGCAAAACACACGAGCUGAUGCAUUAGCUCAACUGGCUUUCUCACCAGAAAAAGACUUACUAAGAUCAGUUCCAGUAGUCAUCAUUCCCGAGCCAAGCAUAAUUAAAUGUGAAGAAAAGGAAGUGGCAACCAUUGACCAUCGGAGUUCCUGGAUGGACCUAAUUAUGAGUUAUCUUAUAAAUGGAACUUUACAUGAGGACAAGAAUGAAUCAAAGAAGGUGAGAUACCGAGCUACAAGGUAUGUGAUCAUGGAUAAUUAACUUUACAAACGUGGAUAUUCACUUCCUCUUCUCAAGUGUUUGACACUCGAAGAUGGAGAUAAUGUCUUACGUGAAAUCCAUAAAGGGAUAUGUGGAAAUCAUUCUGGAGGACGAGCACUUACCUACAAAGCUAUAAGAGAAGGAUACUUUUGGCCGACGAUGCAACGAGAUGCCUUGGAAUUAGCAAAAAAGUGUGAUAAGUGCCAAAGGUUUGCUAUUAUACCCAAGCAACCUCCAGAGAAGUUAACUCCUCUCCUCACUCCUUGGCCAUUUGCCUAAUAGGGGGUUAAUCUAAUUGGUCCUCUGCCAAAAGGAAAGGGGCAAGUAAGGUUUGCUAUAGUUGCAAUUGAUUACUUCACAAAGUGGGUGGAAGCUGAGCCUUUAGCAACUAUUACUGAGAAGAAAACUACCGACUUUAUUCGGAAGAACAUCAUAUGUCGGUAUGGCGUACCUCAUACUAUAAUCACUGACAAUAAGAGGCAAUUUGACAAUGACAAAUUUCGUGAGUUUUGUAGAAAGCUUAAGAUAAAAAAUUGUUACUCUUCUCCUGCCCAUCCUUAGACUAAUGGAAAAGUUGAAGCUGCCAAUCGAGUGAUUAAGCAAAUUCUCAAGGCUAAGUUAGAGAAAGCCAAAGGAGCAUGGCCAGAUGAAUUACCAUUUGUCCUAUGGUCUUAUCGUACUACACCAAGGACUCCUACAUGAGAAUCUCCUUUCUCAUUGGCAUUUGGUGCAGAAGCUGUCAUCCUUGCUGAAAUAAGAAUAUCGGCUUAUCGAGUGCAACACUUUGAUCCUGUCAUCAAUGAUGAGCUACAACGCCAAAGUUUAGACCUCUUAGAAGAAAAGAGGGAUCAUGCUAUGAUCAAGGUCACUGCCUAUCAGGGCAAAGUAGCUCGUUACUACAAUGCUUGAGUUAAAAUUCGAAAGUUCAGAAUUGGAGAUCUUGUUCUAAAGAAGGUUUUGCCUAAUGCUCAAGAACCAAGUGUUGGCACCUUGGGUCCUAACUGGGAUGGACCUUGCAUAAUCAGAGAAAUAGUUAGGCCAGGAACUUAUAUUUUGUCUACCUUAGGUGGAAAGAUCUUGAGGCAUGCUUGGAAUGCUGAGCAUCUCAGAAUUUACCAUCAAUAGUAUGAUCUUGUACUUAUAUAAGUCCGAUCUUUCCUCAAUGGUCAGACAAGUUUUGUAAAGACAAAAUGCGGAUGAAUAAAAGACUACUUCUCCCAGUCAAAUAAAUUCUCCAUGAGAUGUUAAAAAAAAAGUACUGACAAUGAUUAAUGUCCUUGGAUCGAUUUUAAAUUUUCAUAAACUUAACAGAUGAAAAUUUUGUAUCUUUAUUCAAGUUCAACAAAACAAAGGAGCAUCUUAUUUCAAGGAUAAAAACUUAAAGAAACAAAGAUCAAAGUUCAUCUCCUAAGCACUCAGCUUACACAAAAUGUUCAAAACUCCUAAAUUAAGGAAAACCCUCAGAAAUUCCUAGUAUGCUGAAAAUCAUCAUUCUGUUGCUCAGGAUGCCUCCCGAAGAUAUCCUCAAACCCUUCUGGUAUAACUGUGGAUAUCUCCUCGGUCAAAUGAGUAUCUCUUGUUCCAUCCGUACCUCCCCCGUCAAUGCAUGUCUUGGACUCAUUAUCCUCAUUCGGCUUGUGUUCAUCAAAUUUCACACCAAGCUCUUUCAAGUGUUGGUCAACCACUUCAAUGUCAGCAUCAGCAUUGUAGCAAGCAAAGAACAUACGACAAUCCUUUAGUCCCUUAAGGUAUUCCUCGUAGCCUUGGUCAAGUAUACUUUCAAUUUACUCCUUAGCUGCAGAAAGAUCCUUCUCGAGCCCCUUGACUUUUUGCAUCUCAGCAUUUGCUUUAUCCAAAGCUGCUCUUUCCUUAGCCUUAGCAUUAUCUAAUGAACGUUGCAUCUCAGAGUUAUACUCUAUAGUCUUGGAAAGUUGGAGACUCAGCUCUUGGACUUUUUUCUCAACCGUCUUAGCUCUCUUCUCAGAUAUGGAUAAAGAGACCAAAUUUUGCAUAAGAUAAACUUAAGUUGGCAAGAGAAUGACCUUAAAAAAAUAAUAAAUAAAUAAUUAGGAAAGUUAAAUAACUUUACCUUAGAAAGAAGGCUUGAGGCAAGCUUGAGGGAUUCAACAGGAUCAAGACUCUCAAUGUCCUUCAUCAAGGUUGAGGAGUGAAGAGAUAAAGAUAACUGAUGCACCAAAGGAUUUUGUGGUGCAAUAAUACAAGUUCCCUUAUCAGAUGGAAGAGGAGGAGGAAGAGGAGGAAUAAGUGAUGUAAUCUGUUGAGCUUGGGAUACAGACUGAGAAGAUGAUCCACCUUGUUUCUGUUGUUUCUUUUGAGCCCUUAGGAAAGUUCAACAUGCACCUAGUAAUCCCGACAAAGCCCUUAGGAGGGUUGGUAAUGCUUCUUCUAGGUGAAGCAUGACGAAGUGUUAUUGAUCUAGGAAUGCUAUAUCUAAUCAUUAAUAUCUCAAGUGACAUUUCACCUAAUCCAUAUUUAAUCGUCUUCAUCUGCCAUGGAUAAGUAUCUUCAACUACAGGCUCAUCCUCAUCCUCCGAAUUUUCUAAGUUAAUCACCUCUAUUCUUUAUAAUUUCAUCUAUAUAUCCAGUGCUAUCUUCAUCUAUCUCCUCUUUCAACUCACAACUACUUACAUCACUUGUAGUAGCAUGAAUGGUAGUCAAAGGAAUAGCAUCCACCACAAUAUUUUUGAUACUAGGUCUUAUUGAACUAAGAAAAACCUACAAAGUGAAAAUGACUAUGAUUACUCUCCUAAGGAUAGCAAUAAAUAAUAAAAAAUGAAUAAAUAAAUACUCACAAAAAGACGUCGGAAAUUUGUAGGAAAAUCACUAGAGAGUCGACAAAAGGCCGCCAAAUAUUCGUCGCCAGCUACUAUGAACACCACUGUCGGGCACCUUCAGAAAUUUUUCUCUCUAACCUCUUCUCUUUUCUCUUGUAAACUAUUGCAUGAGAUAAUGAGAAAUGAGGCAUUAUAUAUGAGAGAGAUGAUCUUAGGAUGAAAUCCUCCUAAGGAUAAAAUCUAAGGAAACUUUCCUUAAAGAAAAUCAUCCUAGGAUAAAAUCCUCCAAAGGAUAAAAUAUAAGGAAAAUUUUCUUAAAGAAAAUCAUCUUAGGAUGAAAUCCUCCUAAGGAUAAAAUUUAAGGAAAGUCAUCCUAUGAUGAAAUCCUCCUAAGGAUAAAAUCUAAGGAAACUUUCCUUAAAGAAAAUCAUCAUAGGAUAAAAUCCUCCUAAGGAUAAAAUAUAAGGAAAAUUUCCUUAAAGAAAAUCAUCCUAGAAUGAAAUCCUCCUAAUGAUAAAAUUUAAGGAAAGUCAUCCUAGGAUGAAAUCCUCCUAAGAAUAAAAUUUAAGGAAAAUUUCCUUAAAGAAAAUCAUCCUAAGAUGAAAUCCUCCUAAGGAUAAAGUUUAAGGAAAGUCAUCCUAGGAUGAAAUCCUCAUAAGGAUAAAAUCUAAGGAAACUUUCCUUAAAGAAAAUAAUCAUAAGAUAAAAUCCUCCUAUGGAUAAAAUAUAAGGAAAA